AUUGAACGCUGGCGGCAGGCCCAACACAUGCCAGUCGAACGGUAACAGGAAACAGCUUGCUGUUUCGCUGACGAGUGGCGGACGGGUGAGUAAUGUCUGGGAAACUGCCUGAUGGAGGGGGAUAACUACUGGAAACGGUAGCUAAUACCGCAUAACGUCGCAAGACCAAAGAGGGGGACCCUCGGGCCUCUUGCCAUCGGAUGUGCCCAGAUGGGAUUAGCUUGUUGGUGGGGUAACGGCUCACCAAGGCGACGAUCCCUAGCUGGUCUGAGAGGAUGACCAGCCACACUGGAACUGAGACACGGUCCAGACUCCUACGGGAGGCAGCAGUGGGGAAUAUUGCACAAUGGGCGCAAGCCUGAUGCAGCCAUGCCGCGUGUAUGAAGAAGGCCUUCGGGUUGUAAAGUACUUUCAGCGGGGAGGAAGGGAGUAAAGUUAAUACCUUUGCUCAUUGACGUUACCCGCAGAAGAAGCACCGGCUAACUCCGUG
rnacentral:rRNA from 1 species